CAUGGAGGGUGAGAAUCCCGUCCGGCUAAAUCUUAUGACGCUUUAUGAUACGCUUUCCAAGAGUCGAGUUGUUUGGGAUUGCAGCUCAAAAUGGGAGGUAAAUUUCUCCUAAGGCUAAAUACCGGCGAGAGACCGAUAGCGAACAAGUACCGUGAGGGAAAGAUGAAAAGAAUUUUGAAAAGAAAGUCAAACAGUACGUGAAAUUGUUGAAAGGGAAACGAUUGAAGCCAGUCGUACCGACGGGAAUUCAACUUCUCGAGUGCUAAUCGUGGGUGACGUUGAGCCUCACGGCCUUCGUUGCUUGUGUUGUUGGUGCUUUUGGGGUGUACUUUUCCGUAUGGUAGGUCAGCAUCGAUUUCGAUCGUCAUAAAAUGAUCGGGGGAAUGUAGCUUCGGUCUCGUAUCGGAGUGUUAUAGACCUUGGUAGAUGUGACGAUUGGGAUCGAGGAUUGCAACGAAUACCCUCUGGGCUAUCCGUCUGACCUCUGAAAGUCGCUCGGGUGUCGAAAGCGUGCUUAUGGCUAUUCGAGUUGGCGGUCAACAGGUUAGAACGUGAUUACAUUCGUUAAGGAUGUUGACGUA
rnacentral:rRNA from 1 species